ACCGUGCAAAGGUAGCAUAAUCAUUAGUUUUUUAAUUGAAAGCUGGAAUGAACGGUUGGACGAGAAAAUAACUGUCUCAAUUUAAUUGUAUUUAGAAUUUUAUUUAUAAGUAAAAAAGCUUAUAUGAUUUUAAAAGACGAGAAGACCCUAUAGAGUUUUAUAAUUUUUUAUAUUAAUUAGGUUUAGUAAAUUUAUAUUUUUAAUAUAAAAAAUUAUUUUGCUGGGGCAGCAGAAAAAUUAAUAUAACUUUUUUUUAAUUUAAAACAUUGAUUUAUGAUUUAAUGAUCCAUUAUUUAUGAUUACAAGAUUAAAUUACCUUAGGGAUAACAGCGUAAUUUUUUUUUAGAGUUCUUAUCGAAAAAAGAGUUU
rnacentral:rRNA from 1 species